CUUCCUCCAAGGCGCCGGCGUACUCGUUGCUGCGCUUCUUGUGAUGGAGAGAAUCCAUCAUCAUCAUCAUCAUCGGCUAAAAUUGACAGCAAAACUGAUUGGGGGAAUAAAGAAGAAGUGGAGGAGGAAAAUGAAACCAAAGGAGGAUUUAUCACAAGUGGAGAAACAUAGACAAGAAGGAUCCGAUUGAGGGAGGGAAUCGGAAUAUGAAAAGAGAGAGAGAGGGUGAAGAAUAAGAAUAAUUAUUGGUAUAAUUAGAAGAAACCAAAAUAAAAAAACAAUGGGAAUCUAAAGGAGAAUCAGAAAGGAAUAAACGUUUGGAGUUGUUGGGGGGGGGGGGGGGGG
rnacentral:lncRNA from 1 species